GCUGCGGGCCCGGCUGGUGCGGGAAGCCAGGAGGGGUGGAAAGCCAGGCGAGGGCCAAGGAGUCCCGGCCAUCCGUCAAGAGAAAACAUUUGGUUUUCUCCCUUCGGCCUUGCAGGUAGAACGCGGGAGGGAGGCCCACUUACCGGGAGAGGGCGCUGUUGGCGCCUUCCUGACCUCCCUCCUGACCUCCCUUCUCUUUCC
rnacentral:lncRNA from 10 species